GAUAAAGUACUUCCAAUAUAGUAAAAAUUGGCAGUCUGAGGAUUUUGCAUUGAACCUCUUUUAAAAUGGUGAUGAAAGACCACACAUGUUGAAGAUAAGUUUGGCCUUAAUCUAAUCGAGAAACAACUGUUUUUCAUACCAGACAAGCAACUACUCCUCUCUGACUCAAUGUGCCACACCAUUCACUCACCGCUGUAAUCCAUACACAUGUUCAGUACCUUUUGAAUUUUAUGCUCCCGCUUCUCCAUGUGUCAACCCCUUUGUUCCUUGUUGACCCUAGCUUGUCUUGAUGCAACAUCAAGCAACAACAAAAUAUUACACCUGAUACGACAUCAAGCUAUACAGGAACUAUUAGACCACCCAAAUUAUUGAAGCUUCAGAAUUUGUGUCUGGGUCCAUGCCUAAUAAACUGGAAGAAAACCAAAAGAUACUUAUUGAUAUGAAUCAACUUGGUUAAGUAUGGUCAAAUACAAUGCACGGUGGAAUAUCUGCCCUAGAAAACAAAAGAAAAGGAGAUGGAAGAAAUCAUGCACUCAAUGGGUGGCUGUAAGUUCACGGGUAUCAAGACUUGGCUCACAUAUCAUUGAUCAUGGGUCUGUGUCAAUAUGGCUCUGGUGCCCAGUUUAUCACGGUGUUUUGUUAUUAUUUCCGAGAUAGUACUUUCUAUUAUAGUGUUGAGAUAAGCAAUUUAGAUGUUUUAAAUAUUCCCAGCUCUUUGGAUAAGAAGUAUUUCAGUAACUGAAUAAUCUUUGACCGUCCAAAAGAACUAUGAUGUUUCUUUGGGAAUAACAACAGAACAAAAAAUCCGAGAAUCAUGGCUGACCUAUGAGGCGCAGAUGUUGUCGAGGACCUAUAACCAUGCCUCCUAUCCUUUGCGCAACCUUGAAACCACGAGUAAUUACCUGGCAUUAUUUCAUU
rnacentral:lncRNA from 1 species